CCUACGGGUGGCAGCAGUGAGGAAUAUUGGUCAAUGGGCGCGAGCCUGAACCAGCCAAGUAGCGUGAAGGAUGAAUGUCCUACGGGUUGUAAACUUCUUUUAUAAAGGAAUAAAGUGAGGCACGUGUGCCUUUUUGUAUGUACUUUAUGAAUAAGGAUCGGCUAACUCCGUGCCAGCAGCCGCGGUAAUACGGAGGAUCCGAGCGUUAUCCGGAUUUAUUGGGUUUAAAGGGUGCGGAGAUGGGUUGUUAAGUCAGUCGUGAAAGUUUGCGGCUCAACCGUAAGAGUGCAAUUGAUACUGGCAGUCUUGAGUACAGGUGAGGUAGGCGGAAUGCGUGGUGUAGCGGUGAAAUGCUUAGAUAUCACGAAGAACCCCGAUUGCGAAGGCAGCUUACUAAACUGUCACUGACAUUGAUGCUCGAAAGUGUGGGUAUCAAACAGGAUUAGAGACCCUAGUAGUC
rnacentral:rRNA from 1 species